rnacentral:rRNA from 1 species
UACGUAGGGAGCAAGCGUUAUCCGGAUUUACUGGGUGUAAAGGGCGCGUAGGCGGGAUGGCAAGUCAGAUGUGAAAUCCAGGGGCUCAACCCCUGAACUGCAUUUGAAACUGUCGUUCUUGAGUACUGGAGAGGUUGACGGAAUUCCUAGUGUAGCGGUGAAAUGCGUAGAUAUUAGGAGGAACACCAGUGGCGAAGGCGGUCAACUGGACAGCAACUGACGCUGAGGCGCGAAAGCGUGGGGAGCAAACAGG